rnacentral:lncRNA from 1 species
UAAAAACGGGUUGGAUUAACUCGGGUCGGAAUGACCCUGAUGAGGAAGGGUAAGAGUUACCAAGUGCGGAAAGUGCGAUGGGGGAGGAAACUUUAAUGUCGGAGUGGAGGUUAUGUUUUUGGAGUGCUCUGUAGAUGUUUUUCAUGGCGGGUACGAGGAACUUUGUGGUGUUGCUGGGAUCCACGAAGACUUCGUUACCAACUGCAAUGGCUUCGAUUUGGGUAGGAGUGCUCUGUAGAUGUUUUUCAUGGCGGGUACGAGGAACUUUGUGGUGUUGCUGGGAUCCACGAAGACUUCGUUACCAACUGCAAUGGCUUCGAUUUGGGUGUGAGGGUAGUAAGCUACGACGUUUCGUUCGACCCAUGACAGAGCAAAGGAAGGUGCUUUUGCGGCUGCGAAGAGUUGUUGGUUUGGGAGAUCAACGGUUACUUUGAUUUUGGAUCCGGAUAAUGCUCGGAGAACUGAAGGGUCGGUGUCGUAGACUUUGACACGGUCCAGACCUUGUGAUUUGAGGAGAUGGACUACUUUCAUGGCGGAGGGGAGGUUGUUGGCUAUGCGACCGUAGUUUAUUCCUAUGGAACCUCCAUCAGAGGGAGUGAGAAGGGUGAGGGAAAGUACGAGAAAGAUCGUAACGAGGGUGAAGUGCUGCAUUCUCUGGUUCUGUUGAGAAACAGAGAGAUGAGUUUAGGGUGAAGAUUAUGUAAUGGUUAGAAUGUGGGAAUGUGUAAUGUGGUGUGUUUGUUUGUGGAACAAGUGGGAGUGACGUGAGGAGUGUGUAUCUAUCUAUCUAUGAUCGAUGUAUUGAGGGGAACGAGGAAGUGGGGGGUAAAAGGGUAAUUUACAUCUGUAAUUGGGACCCACUAUGUGUUUUUGUUGCUGUAACAAAACAAAAGGACGAGUAAUAAUAGGACCACCUCGUGUUGUGAAAGAAGACUUGGUUUGCUGGCUAGAGCAACAUGAUUGCCG